AGAACGAACGCUGGCGGCAGGCCUAACACAUGCAAGUCGAACGGGGUAGCAAUACUCUAGUGGCAGACGGGUGAGUAACACGUGGGAACCUUCCUUUUAGUAUGGAAUAGCCCGGCGAAAGCCGGAUUAAUACCGUAUACGCCCUAUGGGGGAAAGAUUUAUCGCUAAAAGAUGGGCCCGCGUAAGAUUAGCUAGUUGGUGAGGUAAUGGCUCACCAAGGCUACGAUCUUUAGCUGGUCUGAGAGGAUGACCAGCAUCACUGGGACUGAGACACGGCCCAGACUCCUACGGGAGGCAGCAGUGGGGAAUAUUGGACAAUGGGCGCAAGCCUGAUCCAGCCAUGCCGCGUAGAUGAUGAAGGCCUUAGGGUUGUAAAGUCUUUAACGGGAAGAUAAUGACGGUACCGUAGAAUAAGCCCGGCUAACUUCGUGCCAGCAGCCGC
rnacentral:rRNA from 1 species